GAUGAACGCUAGCGGCAGGCCUAAUACAUGCAAGUCGAACGGAUAUAUGUUUUUCGGAAUAUAUAUUAGUGGCGCACGGGUGAGUAACACGUACAUAACUUGCCCUCAAGCGGGGGAUAGCCUUGGGAAACUGAGAGUAAUACCCCAUAGAUUAUUGGACGGCAUCGUUUGAUAAUUAAAACUACGGUGUUUGGGGAUAGAUGUGCGUCUGAUUAGCUAGUUGGUGAGGUAACUGCUCACCAAGGCGACGAUCAGUAGGGGGCGUGAGAGCGUGGCCCCCCACACGGGUACUGAGACACGGACCCGACUCCUACGGGAGGCAGCAGUAAGGAAUAUUGGACAAUGGGGGCAACCCUGAUCCAGCCAUGCCGCGUGUGUGAAGAAGGCCUU
rnacentral:rRNA from 1 species